ensembl:miRNA aca-mir-1b aca-mir-1b
UGCCUCCCUCUUGAGCCUACAUACUUCUUCAUAUGCCCAUAUGGAGUCGGCCAGAUUUAUGGAAUGUUAAGAAGUAUGUAUCGUUGGGAUGGGAUUGGA